rnacentral:rRNA from 1 species
GACGAACGCUGGCGGCGCGCUUAACGCAUGCAAGUCAAGCGAGAACCCAGGCUUCGGCCUGGGGGAAAGCGGCGAACGGGUGAGUAACACGUGGGUAAUCUGCCCUCGGCAUCGGGAUAGCCCGGGGAAACCCGGAUUAAUACCGGAUGGCCCGACAGCUCUUCGGAGCGGUCGGAAAAGGUAGCUUCGGCCUCCGGCCGAGGAGGAGCCCGCGGCGGAUUAGCUUGUUGGUGAGGUAACGGCUCACCAAGGCUCCGAUCCGUAGCUGGUCUGAGAGGACGAUCAGCCACACUGGGACUGAGACACGGCCCAGACGCCUACGGGAGGCAGCAGUGGGGAAUCUUGCGUAAUGGGCGAAAGCCUGACGCAGCGACGCCGCGUGAGGGAAGAAGGCCUUCGGGUUGUAAACCUCUUUCAGGAGGGACGAAGCCACUCGGGUUAAUAGCCCAGAGGGUGACGGUACCUCCAGAAGAAGCCCCGGCUAACUACGUGCCAGCCGCCGCGGUAAUAC